rnacentral:lncRNA from 1 species
UUCGAUGGAACUGGUACCAUAGAAACUUGAUCUUAGCAAUCUGAUACUUAACGUGCUUAGCAACAGACCCAAGACUACCACCACACAAGACAGAAGAAGAGCACAUGGAAAUGGCCCUCCAAAUGUAUAGACGAGAUCUUCCAGAGGUGUAUAGCAGUUUGGUAAUCUGUACUUGUCAGACACACAUUUGUAGGGACAAAAAGGUUCGCUAACUCCUCCUGUAGAUUCACAGCUUCUACUAUCAGAAGACUAAUCAGGGAAUCGAAGAUAAGAGAACAAUAAGAUAAUAUACCUCGUACGUAUACAAAUUUUGCACGGCUUGGAAGAUGCUCAGGUGGGCAGGGUGUACAAAGACGUUUGUCAGAACCUUCAACAUUCUUGAAAGUCCCAAUGGGGCAUUCCUGAAACAACACACAAAGCCAUAAAAUUUAGAAGUAUCAAGCACAAGCAAAAAAGCAGAGAUUUGCCAUGAUGGUCAAGGAACACUAUUGGGCCUGUCUAAAUUCUAAUUUAUUACACCGACUUGUAGCUGAAAAUAAGGAUAAGAAGAAUUAAAAAAAGACUUGACCAGGGCGGAACCAACUACAACAUAAUAAACCAUAAGACUUACCAAGCAAAAUGUACCAUAGAGUCCCUUCGGACACUUUUUUCCAGUCAUUGUUCCCUCUUCCCCAAGAGGAAAAUCGCCAACAAAAACCAAGAUACCAAGUUGGUAAUAUCCAGAAGCUGUAGCUUGAAACCAUCCAAGCUCAAUUCUUACUCCGUGGAAUUCGAGUUGAGGAUUCCCAUGGCUGUUUACCCACCUAAUGACAGGAAGUAACGCUGAACGAAUUGAUCCAUGCCUCACAGUCCUAAGCUGUGCGUUUAAACCGGCAACAAAGCGGUGCCAAACACUUGGUGGGAUGUGCUGAAAUAGUGAUUUGGAACUCUUAGGAGAUUCUCAGAGGAUAGAUUUUGAAAGAAAUAAUAUAGAGAGAGAAGUAAGCUAACCUGGCCAAGAAGAUUUGUUAACAGUCCGUCACUAUGAAGACUAUAGGGUGACAUAUAACUUCCAUCUCCACCAAAAAGUAUGCACAUUGGGAACCUUUUCUGUAUAAUAGAGACCAUAUCUACACGCUUCUCGUCACCGCCGAGAAAAAAAUCAACGUAUGCAACCAUCAGAUCCGGAGUGGCUCCAACCUGUGUUAACGUUGGAUACAUACAGUAAAACUGCAAAGUAAAAAAGGUAGCUAAUUGUGAAGCAACAGGUAUAUUAGAUAAUAAGAAAUCCGAACCUUCAUGCCUUUGUAUAGGGCUCUAGACCUGCAUGACCGGAGGCAAGAGUGGUCAUAUUGAGUUUUUACGUAUUCUUGAAGGCGAUGAAUUUUUCUCCUGCGACGCCAUUGUUUCCAAGACCAGGCGCAAGGAUUUGCCAGAACUGAUAAAAUGCUGUGCACAGACCCUUCCCACCAAUCAUACGCCGCAGUAGAGUUGACCUCAUCGAUAAAUCUGUUAAAAGCAUCCUCGUACCUGCGAACAAGAAGUGUACAGAACAAUGAGUGGAAGACAUGCCUUGUAAUGAAAUGAGCCAAACGUCAAAGUCACAUUGGUCAGCAAAGAGUAGGACUUAAGAAAACAGAAUAUGGAUUAAUGAUAUACACAGUCAUUACUUCGGAAAAGGUAAAGAGAAAGAGAAAACACGUAGUUGUUAUAAAUAAGUAGCACAAAAGAGACUGUCACUUAGCCAAGAGUUUUUAGCACAACCAUUUCAUUCACACACUCAAUGGCAUCCAAUCGCAACAGAAUUUGAACAUGUCACGUUAUAUCCUUACACCAUCUCGAUGAUUGCAUGGGGACGAGAACAGGGCAGAUGCCAAGGCUCCCUGAAAGUGUUUGGACCCAUGAAGUACAUACGGUAAGCGUGGGUUUGUGUAACGUCAGAUUUUGCGCCUCGGACCUAUAAUGAUAAGACACAGGCCAGAGAGUUUGGUUGACUUCGUUGUCUUAUAACAACAACAGAAGAUUUGGGGACAAGACAAUACUCGCAGCACCAUACCUCAGAGAGUGACAGAAGAUGGGGUAAACAAUGAGUACUCUGGUGUUCGAUGGAACUGGUACCAUAGAAACUUGAUCUUAGCAAUCUGAUACUUAACGUGCUUAGCAACAGACCCAAGACUACCACCACACAAGACAGAAGAAGAGCACAUGGAAAUGGCCCUCCAAAUGUAUAGACGAGAUCUUCCAGAGGUGUAUAGCAGUUUGGUAAUCUGUACUUGUCAGACACACAUUUGUAGGGACAAAAAGGUUCGCUAACUCCUCCU